rnacentral:misc_RNA from 1 species
GAUGAAGAACGUAGCGAAAUGCGAUAAGUAAUGUGAAUUGCAGAAUUCAGUGAAUCAUCGAAUCUUUGAACGCACCUUGCACCCUUUGGCUAUUCCGAAGGGUAUGCCUGUUUGAGUAUCAUGAACACCUCAACUCUCAUGGUUUGCCAUGAUGAGCUUGGACUUUGGGGGUCUUGCUGGCCUGUGGUCAGCUCCUCUCAAAUGGAUUAGCUUGCCAGUGUUUGGUGGCAUCACAGGUGUGAUAACUAUCUACGCUUGUGGUUUUCCACCAGGUAACCUUCAGCAAUGGGGGUUCGCUGGGGCUCAUAAAUGUCUCUCCUCAGUGAGGACAGCUCUUUGAACGUUUGAUCUCAAAUCAGGUAGGACUACCCGCUGAACUUAAGCAUAUCAAUAAGCGGAGA